rnacentral:rRNA from 1 species
GGAAUAUUGGACAAUGGGCGAAAGCCUGAUCCAGCCAUGCCGCGUGUGUGAAGAAGGUCUUCGGAUUGUAAAGCACUUUAAGUUGGGAGGAAGGGCAUUAACCUAAUACGUUGGUGUCUUGACGUUACCGACAGAAUAAGCACCGGCUAACUCUGUGCCAGCAGCCGCGGUAAUACAGAGGGUGCAAGCGUUAAUCGGAAUUACUGGGCGUAAAGCGCGCGUAGGUGGUUCGUUAAGUUGGAUGUGAAAUCCCCGGGCUCAACCUGGGAACUGCAUUCAAAACUGUCGAGCUAGAGUAUGGUAGAGGGUGGUGGAAUUUCCUGUGUAGCGGUGAAAUGCGUAGAUAUAGGAAGGAACACCAGUGGCGAAGGCGACCACCUGGACUGAUACUGACACUGAGGUGCGAAAGCGUGGGGAGCAAACAGGAUUAGAUACCCGGG